GCCGAGAUGGCUCAGUGGUAGAGCAGCUGUUUUGUAAACAGCAGGUCCCGGGUUCGAAUCCCGGUCUCGGCUCUA
rnacentral:tRNA from 1 species